GUCUGCUUCGGUGUCUGCCGCCGAGGAAACUUUGGGUCUCUGGAUGUACGCGGGGCUCUGGGCCUUCGGGCCGCCAGCUCUGGUCGCCGGUUCGGCCCUUGCCGCUGGAGCCGCCCGCCUGGGCCUGUGCGCCGGCUCCUGUGUGGCGUUGUCUGGCUGACCCGACUCGUGGUGCCACCUCCGGUCUCUGGGCGACCCGAGGGCGGCGGGGCGAGGCGCCGUGGGUCUUCUACCCUGUGCGCUCCCCGCUGCGGGCACCCGGUGAAGGCUGAGAUGCGACCCCCGCCCUGUGGGCUCCGUGCCACGUGUCAGGCGUUCUCGAACCUCCUGGGGUCGUGGGCCGCUCUCGCCUGAGGCGAGGUGGGGGGCGGAGGUUGCCGGUGAGGCUUAAAGCGGGCCCCUCUGGUGACUGUCCUCGCCGUGCCUUCCCCCCGCUCCACCUUGGCUCAUCCGAUCGAUGUGGUGUGGUCGUGCUCUCCCGGGCCGGGCCUAAGCCGUGCCAGACGAGGGACAGGUGUUCCCGGUGAACGUGUCUGCUCUUCUCGGUCUGUCCGCGGGGGCUGGGUUGCGGCCUCUGGCCCUGACCUUCGGUCUCCUGUCCCCCGCCUCGGGGGGCGUCGGUGGGGGCCGUGGGUCUUCUGACACAGCAGAUGCUCUCGCUUCGCCUUCCCGGCGUGUGCUCCGCGAGCGGCCCUCCCCGCGGUGGGGAGGGCUGUACCGCUGCUGCGCUGCGCCCCCCCCCGCGCGGGUGCGCGAGCGUGCCUCGUUGGACCCUCGGUGGUGCCCCUGGAGCGCUCCAGGUCGUCGCUCAGGUGCCUGAGGCCGAGCGGUGGUGUCGUUUCCCUUAACCCCGGUGUCCUCCUCGGGUCCCCACCGCGGUGGUGUGUGUGUGUCCCGUGAGUGGGCUCUCUUUUGGGGGGGGUCGAGGCGGUAGGAGAGGCGUGCCUGUUCCCCUCGUCGUCGAGGCUGACGGGUGAGGCCUUGCAGGGGACGGGACGCGGGCUCUGCGCUGGCCCCGGCCACGCAGACGCUCCUGUGUUGGUGCUCCGCCUACCUGUACCGCAGACCCCUCCCACCCCAGCUGAGGACUGGUGGCUCGUGGAGCGCCUCCGUGGGCCCGAAGGAGAGAGACGAUCCGGGUGAGGGGCGGCGAGCCCUCGGUGAGAAAGCCUUCUCUAGCGAUCCGAGAGGGAGCCUUGGGGUAUCGGACCCCCCAGCUGCUGCCCCUCCUGCGUGCGCAGUGGCCGCCGUGGCGGCUGCCAAGAGCGCGUGGGCAGAACACCCCGCCCCCCACCUCCCCUCUGGGGGCGGUGGGGGGCGGGUGCGCCGGCCCCGCGGUGGGGCCGUGUGCCGCUCGUUGCCUACCGCGGCCCGCGCCUCCCCGCUUCGAGUUGGGGGAGGGUCCCGCUGGGCCCCGCCGGGCGUCCGGCAGGUGGGGGGGACCGGAGCGUGCGUGCGCCGCGUGUGCGCGCGGUCGGCCCCCGCGGUGUGGUGAGCCUUGGGGCAAAGGGGGGAAGGUGUUGGGGGCGCGACGUCCGGUCGGCCCCGGCUUCCCCAGCCCCGCAGCCGUGGUGCGGGAGAGCCUAUCGCGCCCGCCCUCUCCCCACGAGCCGCAGCCGGUGGCGGCGUGCGGUCGCGGUCGGGGCCGCCUCGCUCGAGAGCGUGAUCCCCAGGAUGUCGAGCCUCGGGGUGGCAGACUUAGAUCGGAAGACGGAUCUGUCGAGGACGGAUGGCGGAAGAUGGGUUUGGGCGGCUCGCCGGCCCUGGCGGCGGGGCCGGGUCGUGGGGGCCCGCUCUGGGGCUGGCCGGGACCGGUCGGCGUCCCAGGCGUGUCGCGGGACCGCCCUCGUGUGUGGGUGGCGGUGGGACCCCGCGCUGGUUUUCCUGGUGGCCCGGCCGUGUUCCCGGUGUCUUUGUGGUCCCCGGAUGGCGCCCGCGGCCCUGUCCCGCGGCCCCCGCCGUGCGUGCUUGCCGGCCCCUCCCCGCCGCUGCCGGCCUCUCCUCCUCGUCCCGCGCGUGCGACCGCCCCGCGCUCCCUUCCCCUGUCUGGGGCCGAGCCGGCCUCGCCUCAUGUGGGUGUCGUCCCCCGGCCUCCGUCGGCCGGUGGCGUCCCCGAGGCGGGGCGGCGCGCGGGGAGCUUUGCGCGUGUGGGGGACGUGGGGGCCGCCGGUGCGCGGCGGGAGAGCGUUCUCCCUGGCCGGCUUGCGGCUCUCGGGUGUGUGUUGGUGGCGGUGGGCGUGAGCCCCCGUGAGGGUGCCGGGGGGGCGCCAGUCCGUCGUCCCGGGCGUGCGGUGGGACCGUCCCUGUGCUGGGAGGCCUCCGGCGGUGAGAUCCCGCGGUGGGCCCUGGCGGCCGACUCGCGCUUCCCCCUGCCCCAGCACGGGUCGCUUUGAGCCAUGCCCCUCGCGGUGGCGCGCGGCCGCCCCACCAACACCGCCCCUGUUCCGUGGCGUUGGCCUCGCGUGGCCGCACCCCGUCGGUGCUCCUCUCCGUCUGUCCG
ensembl:lncRNA